AACGUGGUAAUUAGAUGGGCACUGUUGAUUGGUGUCCAGAAUUGGACAAUGUGGCUGAAAUUGAGACACAGAUCAUGCUUCCAUCGCAGAAAAUAUUUACAGUGGUGACAGUGAGGCCUGUAACAUUU
rnacentral:snoRNA from 1 species